rnacentral:rRNA from 1 species
CCUACGGGAGGCAGCAGUGGGGAAUAUUGGGCAAUGGAGGCAACUCUGACCCAGCAACGCCGCGUGAAUGAUGAAGGUCUUCGGAUUGUAAAGUUCUGUGAUGGGGGAUGAACACAAUGACGGUACCCCAAUAGCAAGCCACGGCUAACUACGUGCCAGCAGCCGCGGUAAUACGUAGGUGGCAAGCGUUAUCCGGAAUGACUGGGCGUAAAGGGUGCGUAGGUGGUUUAGUAAGUUGGCGGUGUAAUUCCGGGGCUCAACCCCGGGACUGCUCUGGAAACUAUUGAACUUGAGUGCAGGAGAGGUAAGCGGAAUUCCUAGUGUAGCAGUGAAAUGCGUAGAUAUUAGGAGGAACACCAGUGGCGAAGGCGGCUUACUGGACUGUAACUGACGUUGAGGCUCGAAAGCGUGGGGAGCAAACAGGAUUAGAUACCCCUGUAGUC